UCCGGCUUGUCACCGGCAGUUCCUUCAGAGUGCCCAACUAAAUGAUGGCAACUAAAGACGAGGGUUGCGCUCGUUGCGGGACUUAACCCAACAUCUCACGACACGAGCUGACGACAGCCAUGCAGCACCUGUCACCGGUCCAGCCGAACUGAAGGAAACCAUCUCUGGAAUCCGCGACCGGGAUGUCAAACGCUGGUAAGGUUCUGCGCGUUGCUUCGAAUUAAUCCACAUAAUCCACCGCUUGUGCGGGUCCCCGUCAAUUCCUUUGAGUUUUAGCCUUGCGGCCGUACUUCCCAGGCGGGGCACUUAAUGCGUUAGCUACGGCACGGAACCCGUCGAUCGAGCCCCACACCUAGUGCCCAACGUUUACGGCGUGGACUAC
rnacentral:misc_RNA from 1 species